rnacentral:rRNA from 1 species
GACGAACGCUGGCGGCGUGCUUAACACAUGCAAGUCGAACGGAAAGGCCCUGCUUUUGUGGGGUGCUCGAGUGGCGAACGGGUGAGUAACACGUGAGUAACCUGCCCUUGACUUUGGGAUAACUUCAGGAAACUGGGGCUAAUACCGGAUAGGAGCUCCUGCUGCAUGGUGGGGGUUGGAAAGUUUCGGCGGUUGGGGAUGGACUCGCUGCUUAUCAGCUUGUUGUUGGGGUAGUGGCUUACCAAGCCUUCGACGGGUAGCCGGCCUGAGAGGGUGACCGGCCACAAUGGGACUGCGAGACGGCCCAGACUGCUACGGGAGGCAGAAGUGGGGAAUAUUGCACAAUGGGCGGAAGCCUGAGGCAGCAACGCCGCGUGCGGGAUGACGGCCUUCGAGUUGUAAACCGCUUUGGCCGGUGACGAAGCGUGAGUGACGGUAAUGGGUAAAGAAGCACCGGCUAACUACGUG